rnacentral:hammerhead_ribozyme from 1 species
AUCCAGCUGACGAGUCCCAAACACGACGAAACACGCGUCCUGGAU